rnacentral:tRNA from 1 species
GCCUGGUUGGCUCAGUUGGAAGAGCAUGGGACUCCUGAUCUCAGGGUGGUGGGUCUCAGCCCCACAAUGGGUG